AAUUUUUGCUGUAAAUAGCAUACCUAACCUUGGUUUAGAAGCUCUCAAGCAGGGUAUAAAUUUCUAACAGUACUGGCAUCAUUAAAUUUAAUUAAUGCCAAAUUAUGAUAUAAAAUCCUGCUAAAAAUGUUUAUUUGACUUAUUCGCAUUCAAAAAUAUAAAGCGAUACAUUCUGAGAUUAUCAUAUAAAGCGCAAUCUUUGGUUACAAGGGCAAAGCUAACGGGGUACAAAUUUAAGACCGCAACAUGUCUAAGUGUCAAAAUGUGUAUAUUUGGUUGCUAAGGACAGUAAACAAUAAAAUUAACAUAAAUUGCAUUCCUAGCAGUUUUUUUACCUUCAGAACUAAAACAAGAACAUAAAAGACUAAAGAUUUGUGGUCAAUUUUAACUUUAAAAAGUGCAUUUCUGUGCUUUCUGAUGUGCCAUAAGGUAGCACUCCACAGUUAGAAAAUAAAAUUAAAAAUGAGCCCCAAAAUGUUUUAUCAUCUCCUAUUCCUGGAUUUCUAAUACAUUAACCUAACUGUUUGUGUUGUAC
rnacentral:lncRNA from 1 species